rnacentral:rRNA from 1 species
UACGGAGGGUGCAAGCGUUAUCCGGAAUUAUUGGGCGUAAAGCGUUCGUAGGUGGUUUUGAAAGUUUGCUGUCAAAGCGCGAGGCUCAACUUCGGAUCGGCGGUGGAAACUGCCAGACUAGAGUGAGGUAGGGGUGACGGGAAUUCCCAGUGUAGCGGUGAAAUGCGUAGAUAUUGGGAAGAACACCAGCGGCGAAAGCGCGUGACUGGGCCUGAGCUGACACUCAUGGACGAAAGCUAGGGGAGCGAAAGGG